GACGAACGCUGGCGGCGUGCCUAAUACAUGCAAGUCGAACGCAUUUUCUUUCACCGUAGCUUGCUACACCGAAAGAAAAUGAGUGGCGAACGGGUGAGUAACACGUGGGUAACCUGCCCAUCAGCGGGGGAUAACACUUGGAAACAGGUGCUAAUACCGCAUAAUUCCAUUUACCGCAUGGUAAAUGGAUGAAAGGCGCUUUUGCGUCACUGAUGGAUGGACCCGCGGUGCAUUAGCUAGUUGGUGGGGUAACGGCCUACCAAGGCUGCGAUGCAUAGCCGACCUGAGAGGGUGAUCGGCCACACUGGGACUGAGACACGGCCCAGACUCCUACGGGAGGCAGCAGUAGGGAAUCUUCGGCAAUGGACGCAAGUCUGACCGAGCAACGCCGCGUGAUUGAAGAAGGGUUUCGGAUCGUAAAACUCUGUUGUUAGAGAAGAACAAGGAUGAGAGUGGAAAGUUCAUCCCUUGACGGUAGCUAACCAGAAAGCCACGGCUAACUACGUG
rnacentral:rRNA from 1 species